GCCAUCACCGAGCUGCUCAAAGUCCGUGCCGACGCAGAGAAACUGAUGGGCCAGGUUACCGACACGAACAGAAGACUACAAGACGCCGGCAGAGAGGUGACAGCCCAAACGGAGGAGGUGAUUCGCUGUCGGAUACAACAGAGGAACAUGACGACCACUGUGGAGAGACUACAGCUGUGUAUACCUGUCCUAGAAAUGUACAGUAAAUUGAAGGAGCAGCUGGAAUCCAAAAGGUAC